ensembl:snoRNA
GCUGAGACUAGAGUCACACGCUGGACACAGUCCUUACCCUGCCUGGUGUGCUAGAGUUCUCAGACAGAAUCUGCUGGUCUUGACUCACUGGUGGGAGUAGACUGUGUCCCCAUUAGCGUCUAGAUCAGAAACAUGC